GGUUCCCGGAGGUUUUGAGUGAGUGAGUGAGUGAGUGAGCGGGGGCUCGAUCGAGAUUACGUGGCAGUACUGGAGCCGCGCGCGCUCUCUCUCCCUGUCUGCGGGGGCACGAGACACGGAAAGGAGAUAAACUUCCCUGAGUCUCACUUCUGCCUCAUCCUGGAGCCGUUUCAAACUCUCUUCCAGGUGCUGCACACAUAUAAAAGCAGCAUUCAGCACAAAACCUCUGAUUAUUCCUUUACAUAAUGGCAAUUCUCCAGCACUUUGUUGGUCUUGCAGUAUUGAUGACCUGAAGGGAGUAACAGACAGGAAGAUGAAGGGAACUGUAGCUUGCUGAUACUGCACAGAGGAAGGAAAAUGAGGAGAGAGAAUCACAAAGCAAACAGAAACUGAGAAAGAGAUGAAAGAUGGGCAGAAAAGGAGGAUGGGUAGCGGGUACUAAUGACUCCUGUAAUUUCACAUGGACCACAAGAACUGAGGGCACCGUCUGGGACAGUGUCAGAGAUUUAAGGUGAAAAAGAGAGCGCUGACCCAACAUUUCUCCUGUAGUGUGCGAUUGAGAUCUCUUUCGGCCUGUAGCUCCGCCUGCUGAGUGGAAUACAGACACUGCAGCUCAGACUGGAGAGAAAACAUCUCAGAGCGCAGCUGCAGCAAAGACUGAGACUGAAACACACUGUGAGAUAUAAUCUUUAAUAGGGAUGGAUCGCGACGUUCACUGUAGUCCAGCAAGUUGGUUAUAAAGAGAUUAUCCAAAUUUUUACUAGGAUUUUACUAAUAUUUUUAGCAGAAGUGCUUUAAAGGGUGAAUUUAGAAAUUCAACUUUUUAGACUGUUCAAGCUAGUAAAGCAGCGCUUGUAUAAUAACUUUUCUGCCUUCAACUACACAUUUCAAGACAAAUAUGGUCAAACUUCAAAUCAAGUUGGAUGAACAGGGCUCCUAUUAUUAUUCACAAUAUUUAAAUGUAUUGUUUUUGUGAGGAAUAUAUAAAAUAAUAAUUCUGAAUAAUAAUAGAAGUAAUAGUUUUAGAUUAGAAAUCACCCUAAAUACAUCUAAGCAAAAUUCAAUUGAAAUACAUUUAAUUAAAUUUAAUACUUAAAUUACUUUUAUUGUGCUCUACAAAAUACAAUAUGAAAUGCAUUAUAAAAAUAAUGCCUCAAAUACAGCACUUCAAAACUUUAUAAACAAUGAAAUUAUAUAUUAUUAUUAAUUAAAUAUUAAGGCGAGUAAAAUAUAAAUAAAGUUAUUCGUGCUCUUACUUUAAC
rnacentral:lncRNA from 1 species